rnacentral:rRNA from 1 species
UGGACGUAAAAGUCGUAACAAGGUCUCCGUUGGUGAACCAGCGGAGGGAUCAUUACCGAGUUUACAACUCCCAAACCCAAUGUGAACGUUACCAAACUGUUGCCUCGGCGGGAUCUCUGCCCCGGGUGCGUCGCAGCCCCGGACCAAGGCGCCCGCCGGAGGACCAACCAAAACUCUUUUGUAUACCCCCUCGCGGGUUUUUAUAUCUGAGCCAUCUCGGCGCCUCUCGUAGGCGUUUCGAAAAUGAAUCAAAACUUUCAACAACGGAUCUCUUGGUUCUGGCAUCGAUGAAGAACGCAGCGAAAUGCGAUAAGUAAUGUGAAUUGCAGAAUUCAGUGAAUCAUCGAAUCUUUGAACGCACAUUGCGCCCGCCAGUAUUCUGGCGGGCAUGCCUGUCCGAGCGUCAUUUCAACCCUCGAACCCCUCCGGGGGGUCGGCGUUGGGGAUCGGCCCUUUACGGGGCCGGCCCCGAAAUACAGUGGCGGUCUCGCCGCAGCCUCUCCUGCGCAGUAGUUUGCACACUCGCAUCGGGAGCGCGGCGCGUCCAUUGCCGUAAAACACCCAACUUUCUGAAAUGUUGACCUCGGAUCAGGUAGGAAUACCCGCUGACUUAAGCAUAUCAAUAAGCGGAGGA